rnacentral:rRNA from 1 species
AUUGAACGCUGGCGGCAGGCCUAACACAUGCAAGUCGAACGAGUGGCGGACGGGUGAGUAAUGUCUGGGAAACUGCCUGAUCGAGGGGGAUAACUACUGGAUACGGUAGCUAAUACCGCAUACCAUCGGAUGUGCCCAGAUGGGAUUAGCUAGUAGGUGGGGGAACGGCUCACCUAGGCGACGAUCCCUAGCUGGUCUGCGAGCAUGACCAGGCAAACGGGAACGGAGACACGGUCCAGACUCCUACGGGAGGCAGCGGUGUGGAAUAGUGCACAAUGGGCGCAAGCCUGAUGCAGCGAUGCCGCGUGGUUGAAGAAGGCCUUCAGGUUGUAAAGUACUUACAGCGGGGAGGCGGUACCCGCAGAAGAAGCACCGGCUAACUCCGUGCCAGCAGCCGCGGUAAUUC